GCUGUUCCCGCGCCCGGGGCAGGAAGGCGCGCUGGGCAGUUAGGUGCCCUCAGGGUGCCAGGCUCGUCAGACUGCUGGCCUUUCAGUCAUGUAUUCCAAUAUUUUGAGAAGGCCUACUGUGUGCCAGGCGCUGGGCCCCAGGGAGCGAAGCCGUCGUGCCGCCGCCGUAAUUGUACGCGGGUGCAGGGGUGCAGGGCUGGAAGCAGAUGCCUACUUGGUGCUGGUGUCAUUCCCAAAGGGGAGGCCAUCGCUGGUGCACAGGGAGGCUGGGUGGACAGAAUCUUCCUUUUUCUGCCACCCCCCAAAGCCAUCUAGUGAGAGGUGCUGCCAGCUUUGAAGGUUCCCUGCUCUCCCUGGUCCUCUGGUUCUCUUCAGACUCAUCUCGAGAGGAUGGACUGUCCCAGUGGGUCUCCGGUAAGCGCUGCAGUGGCUUCCUUAGCUGCCCUCCCUGGAUACUGGUGCACAUAAGGAUGAGAGGAUGGGUGGAUGCAAGGACAAAGGGACAGGUUUUCCCCAAGCCCUCCUUCCCGGUGAGAUCCUCUCUAAUCACUACAGCAGAACUGCCGCCCUUCCCCCAGCCAAGCAUCCUUCCCCCUCCUGCCCCCACCUCUGCUCUCUUUCCCCCAUAGCACCUUUCUGCACCUCGAAGACCCUCUCCAUUCAUCAUUGCCUUUCUCCCAUGUUAGUGCAGAGGCUCCCCGAGGGCAGCGAUCCCUUUUUUUUUUUCUUUUUUUUUUUUUUUUUUUUUUUUUUUUCUUUUUUUUUUUUAGGGCUGCACCCAGGGCAUAUGGAGGUUCCCAGGCUAGGGGUCUAAUUGGAGCUGUAGCCACCAGCCUAUGCCACAGCCACAGCCGCGCCAGAUCCGAGCCGCAUCUGCGGCCUACACCACAGCUCACGUCAAUGCCAGAUCCUUAACCCACUGAGAGAGGCCAGGGAUCAAACCCGCAACUUCAUGGUUCCUAGUCCCAUUCGUUUCUGCUGUGCCAUGGCGGGAACUCCAAGGGCAGCGAUCUUGGUCUGUUUCAUCCUCUGGCCCAGCACAGGGCUGGGCCAAAGGGGGUCACCUCCUCUCUCCAUCCCCACUCGCCUCCUCACUGGUCUCCCUCCCUUUGGUCCACCCAUGGCAUCCUCUCUGCAGCCAGAGUGCUCCUGGUAAGAUGCAAAUCUGACUCUCUCUGUCCUCAGAUCAAAACCUUUCCUUUCCUGCCUGGAGGAAGCCCAGGUUCUUCAGCAUCACUUGCAGAGUGCACGUGAUCUGGCCCACAGGCCUCUGUGGCUGCCCCUGACCCUGAGCUGCCACCAAGCUCAAUUCCCUCUUGGCACUAUGCCAAGUUUCAUCCCACUGCCAAGCCUUUGUCUCUCCUGGGAUAUCUGACUCCUAUUUACCUUCUGGUCCUCUCCUGCUCUAGGAAGCCCUCCUGGACCCAAGUCUCAGUAAAUGCUUCCUGAGCCCCAGAAAUUAACAGUCUGUUCAUUUUCGUUGGUCUAGCUGUGAGUAUCAUAGGGCAGAAAGCACCCAUUUUCUGCCUUUUCCUGAAGUCGCUGACCCAGCUUGCGCUUGGCAUGUUCAGGUCGUGUCUAUUGAUCUGUAUCGAGAUGAAAUAAACUGAACUGAACCUAAUGAAGCCA
rnacentral:lncRNA from 1 species